UACGGAGGGGGCUAGCGUUGUUCGGAAUUACUGGGCGUAAAGCGCACGUAGGCGGCUUUGUAAGUUAGAGGUGAAAGCCCAGGGCUUAACCCUGGAAUUGCCUUUAAGACUGCAUCGCUAGAAUCGUGGAGAGGUGAGUGGAAUUCCGAGUGUAGAGGUGAAAUUCGUAGAUAUUCGGAAGAACACCAGUGGCGGAGGCGACUCACUGGACACGUAUUGACGCUGAGGUGCGAAAGCGUGGGGAG
rnacentral:rRNA from 1 species